rnacentral:rRNA from 1 species
GAGUUUGAUCCUGGCUCAGGACGAACGCUGGCGGCGUGCCUAACACAUGCAAGUCGAACGGAGAAUCAGCAAUGGUUCUUAGUGGCGAACGGGUGAGUAACGCGUAGACAACCUGCCUUCUAGAUGGGGACAACGUUCCGAAAGGGACGCUAAUACCGAAUGUUGUAUUGAAUCUGCAUGGAAUCGAUACUAAAGGUGGCCUCUGAAUAUGCUACCACUAGAAGAUGGGUCUGCGUCUGAUUAGCUAGUUGGUGAGGUAAUGGCUCACCAAGGCGAUGAUCAGUAGCCGGUCUGAGAGGAUGAACGGCCACACUGGGACUGAGACACGGCCCAGACUCCUACGGGAGGCAGCAGUGGGGAAUCUUCCGCAAUGGACGAAAGUCUGACGGAGCAACGCCGCGUGAGUGAAGAAGGUUUUAGGAUCGUAAAGCUCUGUCUUCAAGGACGAAUGUGCAUGUUGUGAAUAAUGACAUGUAAUGACGGUACUUGAGGAGGAAGCCACGGCUAACUACGUGCCAGCAGCCGCGGUAAUACGUAGGUGGCAAGCGUUGUCCGGAAUUAUUGGGCGUAAAGCGCGCGCAGGCGGGAAUGUAAGUCUGUCUUAAAAGUUCGGGGCUCAACCCCGUGAUGGGAUGGAAACUACAUUUCUUGAGUGCAGGAGAGGACAGUGGAAUUCCCAGUGUAGCGGUGAAAUGCGUAGAUAUUGGGAGGAACACCAGUGGCGAAGGCGACUGUCUGGACUGUGUCUGACGCUGAGGCGCGAAAGCCAGGGGAGUGAACGGGAUUAGAUACCCCGGUAAUCCUGGCCGUAAACGAUGGGUACUAGGUGUAGGAGGUAUCGACCCCUUCUGUGCCGGAGUUAACGCAAUAAGUACCCCGCCUGGGGGAGUACGGCCGCAAGGUUGAAACUCAAAG